CUGUCUUCUGUUUCCCCCCCCCCUUUUUUUUCUCUCUUCCUACAGUCAAUCGUUAUUUCGGAAUUCUAACUUAUUGCAAUCAGUAUGAAAUUGAAGUUCAACAUGGAGAGUCUUCUGUUUUUAACUUUUCCACCUCGCCCCUUUUACUCGAGCGAACGCAGCGUCAUCAUGUAUUAACACAAAUUUAUCCAAAAUGGCAAUGGGAAAUGAUGGUAACGGCAUCCAAGUAACAUCACAACCAGCAAUAAUGCCAUUUCAGGAAUUAUCGUGUUUUAUAUCGCUGAAUGGAAUCCACAAUGUUUGAAAACUAAUUCAAAAGUUGAAAUCUGCAAAUAAAAACUGGAAAUUUCUCUGAUAAAAAGUCUGUGUUCUUCGGUAAGAAGGUUGCAAAGCGGAAGAUUCUAAAGAUGUCAAGUAGAUAAUCGCUCCGAGUAAAAGCAAUAUGCGUAAUUGCAUCGGUAUUAGGAUGAUAAUAAUUUAGGAUAAAAAUUACUUAAUAAUUAUCGUCGGAAACAUUUACAAUGUCAUAUCACGAAAAUUGUAAUCAAGCAGUAUUAUCAUUUUGUGAUUGUGAUUGUUUCAUUCAUUAGCAUGAAACGUGACAAUGUACUUUACAUUAUACGAGUGCACAAUUAUGAGAAUUUUGACCAGACUUAUUGUGUAUAUUAUUACAUGUAAAUAAAAACGGAAGAUAAGCUUAUUGAUAAAAUUAAUUGCAGUGGUUAUCAAUAUCCUAUCUUAAAAAAUGCAUGGAAGAUUUUCAUUGUUGCCUUUCUUCCGCGAUACUAAUCAUUUUGCUUAAACAUUAAUUUUUACAUAUGAUUUAUACGGUUUGCGGUUAUUGUUUUUACAGAAAAUAUUCAAAGUUUCUUCUUUGAUACAUUUCAGAAUUUUUUGUUUAACUUUUUUUUGAAGUCAAAGACAUAACUCUAUUGGUUUAAUAUAAAUGCUCACUAGAAAUUCAAUCCAAUUAUUAAUUUUCGAAUUAUAUUACGCUAUACAUUUAUAUAAUAACCUAAUCACAAGUUUAAGUAAUUUUUAUAUAUUUUUACACGUGAAUAACAUAACUUAUGUUAAAAAGUACUACAAAUUGCGACAAUGACAAUAUAAUAACAUAUAAAUAACGGUGAUAAAAUAUUAUUUUUAUUAAACAUAGUUAUAAUAAAUAAUUCUUUCUAACUAAAAAAAUUAAUGAUGCGUAUUGACACGAAAUGAUAAUGCUGCUUGAUUACAUUUUUUGUGAUAUGACACUGUAAAUAUUUCCAUUUGAAAAUCCCAAAUCCAUUUGGGAAUAUAAUUUA